CUUUACAAUACUUGUUUACAAGAGUUACUUUGAAGGUUUAAAAGUGAAGUUUGGUUGUGAAGAGUGACAGUGUAAAAAUGGCACCUUCUUAUCACUUGUAUCACCUAGGAGCCUAAACAUGGACAAGGACCUCACUGUUCUAGGUGCUGUACAAGCACAGAACACACAAGUGGGAGAGGGACAGAUACACUUGUGACGUUAUUGACAUGAAUUGUGACCGUAUAGAUCAUUGUUACAAUCAGGGUCCUGUAGUUGCACCAGGUCUUGUACAGAGGAGGUCAAGUGGGGUGUCUAUGGAAAGGUUGUAGUUUACUGGUUAUGAUUAUGCUGUCUGUAUGUGUGUAUCAUUUUUGUAUUUGAAGUUAUGACUAUUGGCUAGGUACUGGUAUCUCGAUGUGUUUGAUUCUAAGUAGCCUCACUGAAGCAUUUGGUCAGCUUCUUGAGAAAGGACUAUUCUCAGUAAGUGCCCAAUCAAGAAACACUUAAUUGACAAUGGACUUUGGGAGAUGCCAAUCCACAUCUGAGCUUUCCUGGGAACAUUCAAACUAACAUGUAAACAAUGGCAUCGGCCUGCAAAAAGCUGAAUCAUUCAUAGACAUGUGACUUGCCCAGGUGCCUACAAACCCCAUCUUGUUGUUGUGACUUUGGACAGGAGAACAAAGGGGUUUCUGCCCACAAGAAAGAGAAUAUAAGAGGCCCUGGAAGCCUCUCCAUUUUGUCUUCAGUUGGCUCAAGAGAUGGCCUCUCUACCCCAAAGAGAUGCCUGAAAGAAACUGGAACAAAGGACAGUAACUACGGGGGUGUGAGUGAUUGCUGGACCCAGACUAGGAAGGAGUCUACUCUGUGAAAGAAGCUUCCUGGAACAUCUCUGAGGGUUACCAUGAACGAUAUCACUCUCCUGAGGAUAACACAGCGAAAUAAAGAACGGCUGUUGCCUGAACGCCAGCAAACACCGGGACCAUACGCUGCCAGGCUUUGUCAUGCAGUGGUACCAGAUUACUUGCUACUAGCAUGGCUUGGUCAAGUGUCCUACCAUGGAGGACAGAAUAAGGCUGCACCGCCCAGAAACCUUCUGCAAAGGCUUUUGGAGUACCUCCAGGAGAGCUUCAUGGAGAUGUUCCUGGAGGAUUUUGGCUCCAUCCCCAGACAUGUUAACAGACUUUUCCAGUAGCUGUACUGGCCGUGAAUGCAUCCCAAGUCCUCAGGGCAAAUUAAUCAUUAAAAAACGCUUGCUUUUAUAUCAUA